rnacentral:rRNA from 1 species
UACGGAGGAUCCAAGCGUUUAUCCGGAUUUAUUGGGUUUAAAGGGUGCGUAGGUGGCCUGUUAAGUCAGGGGUGAAAGACGGUAGCUUAACUAUCGCAGUGCCCUUGAUACUGAUGGGCUUGAAUAACUAGAGGUAGGCGGAAUGUGACAAGUAGCGGUGAAAAUGCAUAGAUAUGUCACAGAACACCAAUUGCGAAGGCAGCUUACUAUGGUUUUAUUGACACUGAGGCACGAAAAGCGUGGGGGAUC